rnacentral:misc_RNA from 1 species
ACGCACGACUACGACGUCAAGAUGCGCAACGUGCUGAAAUUCCUCGAAGGCGGCGACAAGGUGAAGAUCACCCUGCGCUUCCGUGGCCGCGAGAUGGCGCACCAGGAUCUGGGCCGCAAUCUGCUCGAACGGAUCGCCGAGGACGUCAAGGAGGUUGGCCGGGUCGAGAACAUGCCCAAGAUGGAAGGCCGCCAGAUGAUCAUGAUCAUCGGACCGGGCGCGAAAUAAUCCGCCCCGGCACCGCAGCACCACGCGACCCCCGGCCAUCGGUCCGGGGGUUUCAUUUUGCCUGCUUGCACCGCCCGGCUGAUCGCGUAGGAUCAGCGACCGUGAACUGAUCG